rnacentral:rRNA from 1 species
UGAGUAACACGUGGGCAAUCUGCCCUGCACUUCGGGAUAAGCCUGGGAAACUGGGUCUAAUACCGGAUAGGACCUUUAGGCGCAUGCCUUUUGGUGGAAAGCUUUUGCGGUGUGGGAUGGGCCCGCGGCCUAUCAGCUUGUUGGUGGGGUGAUGGCCUACCAAGGCGACGACGGGUAGCCGGCCUGAGAGGGUGUCCGGCCACACUGGGACUGAGAUACGGCCCAGACUCCUACGGGAGGCAGCAGUGGGGAAUAUUGCACAAUGGGCGCAAGCCUGAUGCAGCGACGCCGCGUGGGGGAUGACGGCCUUCGGGUUGUAAACCUCUUUCACCAUCGACGAAGGUCCGGGUUUUCUCGGAUUGACGGUAGGUGGAGAAGAAGCACCGGCCAACUACGUGCCAGCAGCCGCGGUAAUACGUAGGGUGCGAGCGUUGUCCGGAAUUACUGGGCGUAAAGAGCUCGUAGGUGGUUUGUCGCGUUGUUCGUGAAAUCUCACGGCUUAACUGUGAGCGUGCGGGCGAUACGGGCAGACUAGAGUACUGCAGGGGAGACUGGAAUUCCUGGUGUAGCGGUGGAAUGCGCAGAUAUCAGGAGGAACACCGGUGGCGAAGGCGGGUCUCUGGGCAGUAACUGACGCUGAGGAGCGAAAGCGUGGGGAGCGAACAGGAUUAGAUACCCUGGUAGUCCACGCCGUAAACGGUGGGUACUAGGGUGUGGGUUUCCUUCCUUGGGAUCCGUGCCGUAGCUAACGCAUUAAGUACCCCGCCUGGGGGAGUACGGCCGCAAGGCUAAAACUCAAAAGGANUUGACGGGGGGCCCGCACAA